UAUUCGUGGACGUCCAUCAACUAAAAGAAUAGUUCACAUAUGUGGUCGGCCUCGCUGGGUUUUUGCUGUCAUAUUCUCUUCUGUAAGUUUCAUCCUUUGGUAUGUAUCCUGUGGUCUCUUGACUGUGAUAUGGACACUUGCUGUAGCACUUCUUGCCAUUCUCCUUCAUGCAUGUUUUAGAACACCGAACCUGAAGGCCCGUCUUAAUACUUUCCGUGAGGAGUUUCGUGCAGUUUGGCUCAAUUACAGAGAGCUAUGAGCUCACAGUCUAUAUCAUGUGAGUAUGCAUCCAAUUUUUAUGUUGAUUUAGUUUAUAUUUGAAUUUUAUUAAGGUUUUCAUUUGAUUAAGAGUUUAGUGCUGUUACUCUUGUUUUACUUUUAUACUUUCAGCUGUUAACCCGUUGUUCAUGUUCACCUCUUUUAUUGAUUAUCGAAUAUUGUGUAUAUUCAC